AUUGAACGCUGGCGGCAGGCCUAACACAUGCAAGUCGAGCGGAUGAAGGGAGCUUGCUCCUGGAUUCAGCGGCGGACGGGUGAGUAAUGCCUAGGAAUCUGCCUGGUAGUGGGGGAUAACGUCCGGAAACGGGCGCUAAUACCGCAUACGUCCUGAGGGAGAAAGUGGGGGAUCUUCGGACCUCACGCUAUCAGAUGAGCCUAGGUCGGAUUAGCUAGUUGGUGGGGUAAAGGCCUACCAAGGCGACGAUCCGUAACUGGUCUGAGAGGAUGAUCAGUCACACUGGAACUGAGACACGGUCCAGACUCCUACGGGAGGCAGCAGUGGGGAAUAUUGGACAAUGGGCGAAAGCCUGAUCCAGCCAUGCCGCGUGUGUGAAGAAGGUCUUCGGAUUGUAAAGCACUUUAAGUUGGGAGGAAGGGCAGUAAGUUAAUACCUUGCUGUUUUGACGUUACCAGCAGAAUAAGCACCGGCUAACUACGUG
rnacentral:rRNA from 1 species